UUCUCCUCCCCUCACCACCUACAAAGCUUCUCAGUCCGCUAACAUGACCACUGCAUUGUGCCCAUGGCAUUACAGUAGCUGUGGGCAGCAGUAUUACCUUGAGGUCACAGUCAAGCUCUUGGCAUCUGAUAAUGCAGGGCUAGGCUGGAGUGUGACUUAGAGGAAUUGAAAGUGUGCUGCAGACGUUCAUUUAUGACCUGCAGAAACACAGCUGGCUCAGCUGGGGCCCAUCAGAGUGCACUUUUGUUGACUCAAGAUUAUUCUUUUAGCAGAUUUCCGUUGGAGCUGCUCACAAAAGUGGGAAUUGCUGGGUUAAUCUUCAUAAAAGAUAGAAAAGUUGGCAGCAGAAGGAAUUUUUGAAAAAGCAAAUUAAAGGGGAGGAAAGAA